rnacentral:rRNA from 1 species
AUUGAACGCUGGCGGCAUGCCUUACACAUGCAAGUCGAACGGCAGCACGGGAGCAAUCCUGGUGGCGAGUGGCGAACGGGUGAGUAAUAUAUCGGAACGUGCCCAGUCGUGGGGAUAACGUAGCGAAAGCUACGCUAAUACCGCAUACGAUCUAUGGAUGAAAGCGGGGGAUCGCAAGACCUCGCGCGAUUGGAGCGGCCGAUAUCAGAUUAGGUAGUUGGUGAGGUAAAGGCUCACCAAGCCGACGAUCUAUAGCUGGUCUGAGAGGACGACCAGCCACACUGGGACUGAGACACGGCCCAGACUCCUACGGGAGGCAGCAGUGGGGAAUUUUGGACAAUGGGCGCAAGCCUGAUCCAGCAAUGCCGCGUGCAGGAUGAAGGCC